rnacentral:misc_RNA from 1 species
UAUUGCGUGAUGGAUCCCUGCUCGGGCAGCGACAUCAUCUCAUCCACGUCUCUUCAUUUGUUGGCGCGAGCAUUUGCUCGGCCGGUGUUGGAUUUCCUGUGCUGGAUACCCGUAUCGUGGCAUUGAACGUCGGCUAAAUUGUCCCUCAGCCCCCUCGUGCUGCUGCUCCUCGCGGGCAAGUGGUGUGGGGUGGCCCAUGUAGCGCACGCGGUGUGUCCCAUCCCGUUGGCCUUGUAAGAAGGGCAUCCGGGCUGACGAUCCACGGCUUGAUGCUUGGUCCCUUGGGUACGGAAAGUCGUGUGGGGUACGGGGCCGUCGGCCUUGGUGCACCACAAACAAGCGUUGCGAACGACUGUCGGCCCGGUCUUUGGCUGGCCCUCGUGGCUCGRCU